rnacentral:rRNA from 1 species
GGUAGUAAUACAAGGCAGACGGCUCAGUAACGCGAUAGUCAACCUAACCUAUGGACGGGAAUAACCUCGGGAAACUGAGUAUAAUGCCCGAUAGAACAUUAUGCCUGGAAUGGUUUAUGUUCCAAAUGAUUUAUCGCCGUAGGAUGGGACUGCGGCCUAUCAGUUUGUUGGUGAGGUAAUGGCCCACCAAGACUAUUACAGGUACGGGCUCUGAGAGGAGUGGCCCGGAGAUGGGUACUGAGACACGGACCCAGGCCCUAUGGGGCGCAGCAGGCGAGAAAACUUUGCAAUGUGCGAAAGCACGACAAGGUUAAUCCGAGUGGUUUCUGCUAAAGGAACCUUUUGUCAGUCCUAGAAACACUGAUGAAUAAGGGGUGGGCAAGCUCUGGUGUCAGCCGCCGCGGUAAAACCAGCACCUCAAGUGGUCAGGAUGAUUAUUGGGCCUAAAGCAUCCGUAGCCGGCUCUGUAAGUUUUCGGUUAAAUCUGUACGCUUAACGUACAGGCUGCCGGGAAUACUGCAGAGCUAGGGAGUGGGAGAGGUAGACGGUACUCGGUAGGAAGGGGUAAAAUCCUUUGAUCUAUUGAUGACCACCUGUGGCGAAGGCGGUCUACCAGAACACGUCCGACGGUGAGGGAUGAAAGCUGGGGGAGCAAACCGGAUUAGAUACCCGGGUAGUCCCAGCUGUAAACCAUGCAAACUCAGUGAUGCAUUGGCUUGUGGCCAAUGCAGUGCUGCAGGGAAGCCGUUAAGUUUGCCGCCUGGGAAGUACGUAC